CCUACGGGAGGCAGCAGUAGGGAAUAUUGCUCAAUGGGGGAAACCCUGAAGCAGCAACGCCGCGUGGAGGAUGAAGGUUUUCGGAUUGUAAACUCCUUUUGUUAGAGAAGAUAAUGACGGUAUCUAACGAAUAAGCACCGGCUAACUCCGUGCCAGCAGCCGCGGUAAUACGGGGGGUGCAAGCGUUACUCCGAAUCACUGGGCGUAAAGGGCGCGUAGGUGGGUUAGCAAGUCAGAUGUGAAAUCCUAGGGCUUAACCAUAGAACUGCAUUUGAAACUGUUAUUCUAGAGUUUGGGAGAGGUAGGUGGAAUGCUUGGUGUAGGGGUAAAAUGCGUAGAGAUCAAGAGGAAUACUCAUUGCGAAGGCGACCUGCUAGAACAUAACUGACGCUGAUGCGCGAAAGCGUGGGGAGCGAACAGGAUUAGAUACGCGGGUAGUC
rnacentral:rRNA from 1 species